CAUUACUGAGUUAUCUAACUCCCAAACCAUUGUGAACUUACCACUGUUGCCUCGGCGGCGACCUCCUUCUGUUUGUUCAGUUGGGGAAAACCGCCGGUGGACUACUAAACUCUUGUUAAUUUUUGUCAAUCUGAAUAAAAAACUUAAUAAGUUAAAACUUUCAACAACGGAUCUCUUGGUUCUGGCAUCGAUGAAGAACGCAGCGAAAUGCGAUAAGUAAUGUGAAUUGCAGAAUUCAGUGAAUCAUCGAAUCUUUGAACGCACAUUGCGCCCAUUAGUAUUCUAGUGGGCAUGCCUGUUCGAGCGUCAUUUCAACCCUUAAGCUUAGCUUAGUAUUGGGAAUCUGCUUAACCGCAGCUCCUUAAAUCUAGUUGGCAGAGCACAGCUGUACUCUGAGCGUAGUAAUUCAUUAUCUCGCUUUUUGAAGACAGUCGUACGAUAGCCACAAACUUUGCAUCUUGCAAACUUUUUAAUGGUUGACCUCGGAUCAGGUAGGAAUACCCGCUGAACUUAA
rnacentral:rRNA from 1 species